UUUCCCACAGGGACUUCGGUAGUGUUGACCGCGAACACCCGAAGAACGUGGCACACCAGCCCUUUAAAACGACCGGAAAGGCUCCUAUCGCGAUGCAAGAGCGAUAUCUGUAACCAUAUGGGACACUUUCCCACAGGGACUUCGGUAGUGUUGACCGCGAACACCCGAAGAACGUGGCACACCAGCCCUUUAAAGGGACUCUGACCAGAAACUGUGGGAGCUCUUUCGUACUUGUAGUCGAUAAAGCACCCAACAAGGACUCUCCAUGCGAAAAUUCACGCAUUAAAACCCCACGGUUUCUCUAAACUCGAAUUUUAAACAUUCGACUUCAUCCGAGUGCAGCACGCCUAGCGUCAAACCGAGAAAACAUACGUUUAUAUAGAAUAUCCACCCCGGCCCACCAUCAAGAUGACGUAAAUACGGGGGCCACUCGCAACACCCACAAUUGGCUCAAACGCGUCACGUGGUCACGCAAUAUCUGUCAAUUUCCUUCAUGAAAUGGCAUUUCUACGUUAAUAUGUUUUUGUUACAGAGCCUCAAAAAGAAAAAUAUACCCUACAUUUAUCACCUGCAACAGUUUCUACGAUUUUCUUUUCAAUCUGUACACGGCGUUCGAUAUAUGCUUCCGUAUCCGGUCAGCUAUAAUGGAUGCCGUAUGCCGAGCUUGCGAACUGCGAACUUGUGUGACUCCCGGUUCAUCCUCUUUGUUCGGGUCAUUGGGUUGGUGUUGGAGUUGGUCACCAUAUUCUGAACGUUUCACCUAUCGUUGCGGUGUACUGUUCUUGAUCUGCUGCGAAGCGACGAACCGCAACGGCAGUCACUCGCCUCAGCGAACUUCUGUCUGCUGCAUCUCAAAGGAGCAUGGGGACCUGAUGAUACCUUCAACUAAAAAAAACAAAUGUGCUCUCGUGUGGUCCUGACGGAAAAGUAGUAUCAACAAGGUUAGCACAUUUAUUUUUCAGUUCCAAGUCUACGUACUGAAAACCAUGCAGGUGCAGUCGAUCAUUCUCUUAGCUGUUGUGUAACGCGUAUGCUUUCUUACAUAUCCCACAGAACCCUCCACUUUUUCGACCAAGUUAUCGUUAUGAGAUCCUUCUGAUGGCUUCUUACUAGGCUAUGCCGCUCCGAAGCAUUGAGAUGGCGAAGCGUCGUGGUAGCUGCACCUCUGCCUUCGAAAGAUGAAUCAGUCAUUCCACACUGUGCUUACUGGCUUUGUAUAGAGUCUGGCAAAUCCGACAGACUUGGACUGCCUUUUUCAAGAAAGUUUGAAAUAGCAUCCCUUAUGCACCUGCAUUUCAAUUCCAAUCUGUAUUACAAGAAUGACAGACCACUCAACAGAGAUGAACAUCUGAAAGUGAAAGCUGGAAUGAAGAUAUGUUAAUCUGUGUCAAAGGUUCUUAGUAUGUGUGCGAGUCGAGGACAUAGGUCUCAAGCUUAUUCCUGUCUUCAGAAGAGGUGACAACUAUGCUCCUUCUAUCUACUAACCAGCUCCACUUUUUAGGGUUCCCUGUAAACUAAUGGAGCACAUCAUGUACUACCACGUUGUCAACCAAGUUGACUCUGUCAAUUUCUUUUUUUAAAUUCCAGCAUGGCUUUAGAAAAGGGUAUUCAGGCAAAACUAACGUAGUGGAAUUCGUUCACAGCAUUUCAAACUGUCUUGAUUUCUGGGUCCACGUAGAUGUAGUAUUCUUUUUAUUUUGUAAGGGCUUUUGACACUGUGCUCUACGCUCGCGUGUUGGCCAAAGUAGCCUAAUUAAAAUUUGAUCCUGCUA